GACGAACGCUGGCGGCGUGCUUAACACAUGCAAGUCGAGCGGUAAGGCCCUUUCGGGGGUACACGAGCGGCGAACGGGUGAGUAACACGUGGGUGACCUGCCUUUAGCUCUGGGAUAAGCCUGGGAAACUGGGUCUAAUACCGGAUACGACUCCGCGGUGCAUGCUGUGGGGUGGAAAGCCUUGUGCGGCUGGAGAUGGGGCCCGCGGCCUAUCAGCUUGUUGGUGGGGUGAUGGCCUACCAAGGGCGACGACGGGUAGCCGGCCUGAGAGGGCGACCGGCCACACUGGGACUGAGACACGGCCCAGACUCCUACGGGAGGCAGCAGUGGGGAAUCUUGCGCAAUGGGCGAAAGCCUGACGCAGCGACGCCGCGUGAGGGAUGACGGCCU
rnacentral:rRNA from 1 species